rnacentral:rRNA from 1 species
GUACAUGCCUACACCAUAGAAUUAAUGCACCAGAUCCCAUUAGAAMUUCACAGUUAAGCGUGCUCAGGCUAGAGUAGUACUGGGAUGGGUGACCUCCCAGGAAGUCCUAGUGUUUUACACG